AUUGAACGCUGGCGGAAUGCUUUACACAUGCAAGUCGAACGGUAGAGGGGGCAACCCCCUUGAGAGUGGCGAACGGGUGAGUAAUAUAUCGGAACGUGCCCAGUCGUGGGGGAUAACGUAGCGAAAGUUACGCUAAUACCGCAUACGAUCUACGGAUGAAAGCGGGGGACUCGCAAGAGCCUCGCGCGAUUGGAGCGGCCGAUAUCAGAUUAGGUAGUUGGUGGGGUAAAGGCUCACCAAGCCAACGAUCUGUAGCUGGUCUGAGAGGACGACCAGCCACACUGGAACUGAGACACGGUCCAGACUCCUACGGGAGGCAGCAGUGGGGAAUUUUUGGACAAUGGACGCAAGUCUGAUCCAGCCAUUCCGCGUGCAGGUUACGAAGGCCUCGG
rnacentral:rRNA from 1 species